rnacentral:sRNA from 2 species
UAUUGCUAAAAAAGCUCCUCUCCGCGAACUCCGCCAGCACCAAUGCCCACGAUGAAGCACGCAAAAGUGCCAAGUCAACGAGACGACCAAAACAAUCAACAGGGCACAAGGUUGCCAAAUCAGUCCGGGCCAAAACUCCUGCUAAAUAUGUUCCACUCAAAACAUCACUUGGAACAGAGGAUGGGCUCUCGCAGAAAGAGAAGCUUGUUUUAGCCACGGACGUAUUCAAUUCCGCGUCAAAGGCACUUUCCGAUUAUGUGAAGCUCUCCUCAAAGUGUCAAGAGUCUCGAGAACCCCGGAAAAGCAGAGUUGACACUCCACAAAAGGCGUUGACUCCUAGACGGCCACUGCAACCUGUCUCGCCGAAUUCGACCACAUGCUCUCCCGUAAAGACGAAAGUUAUAGACAAGUCUACGCCGAAAACGAGAAUUCAAAGUUGUGGGGUUGUGGAAGUUGCGAAUUGUGCUAGAUUGGCGUUGUCAUAUGUUCGAGACCAGAGGCCACCUCCCUCAGUGGAAACCCUGCAAUUCAAUAGCCAACUAGAGCAAGGUUUUUGCGUCCUGAUCGGGAAGCUUCUUGCUGUUGGUCUGAUUGAACCCGCAAUAAGCGAACUGAGAAAGCUGAAGAGGAGGAUAAAAGGAUAUAUGAUGAACGAAACAUCGAAAGGGAACCCUGAGCGCGCGACGAAACACGCCAACACCGACCAGU